ensembl:lncRNA
AAAUUAGUGCAUGUAAACAUACUGAGAAGUAUAAAUCAUUCAUUACUGUAAUCUGAAAAAUAUCAGUAUGAGAUGAGAUGAUAUUUAUUAAUUAUUUUCAUGCUGUUAUAUAUGACCUCACUCUGUUUUAGAUGAUACUGCAGCGCUGUUUGGAAAUUCUGAUGGGUUUCUUGAUGGCAUAUGGGCUGAUCAUUAGCAGUUAUGUGUGUAUCCUGGGAAGAAUUCGCAAGACUCGGUUUCGUAGGCACAUCCAAAAUGAGGAACUCAUCCUGGUGAUUGUCAUCACCUUUGGUUUUACCUGACUUCCUUUCCACACCAUGAAUAUGGUGGAGGUGUGUGUGCAAGAUAAUGGGGGGAAAACUAAUGGGAAAUCAUGCAAUUUAUCUUUUCGUGUUGAUAAAUUUUUAUAACAACAUUAUAAUAUUUUUAUUUUACAAAGUAGAUACCUUACAAUGAGAUCAUCAUAUUUGAGAACAUGUUUGAUUAUGACUUUCCUGCUCAGAUUGCUGGGACUUUUCUCCCAGAAGAUUCCCAUGCAAAAGCCAGACUACAAUCUGGUUAUCAUUCUGAGGCUUCAGCUCCAUUAUCCCCUUCAUCAGCAGCUGCAUAAAUCCUGUUCUCUACACCUUUGCUGGAAAGUCAUACAUUAAACGUGAAGGCCUGGCCUUCAUGGCACGGCUCUUUGAGGGCUCAAGGAUCGAGUCCAUGCGAAAGAACCGGCAGAAUCAGAGAAAUCAGGAUCAAGAGAAGAAAGAAGAGGUUGAUCAUCUAAGAGACAGAGUCUGAUUUCACCACUAUUGCUAAUACUUGAGCACUAAAGUAGAGAAAUAGGAAGGGUCCGCAGUCUAGUUGGGCUUGUUUUUGGGUCUUGGCAUUUUUCUUUAUGCAUUGUAUAGGUUAGACUAAAUGAUACUAUUACUGGGAAACAAAAGGAAAAGAUUUCUUUAAGUGGAAGUAUAGAACCUCUUUCUUUAAAUCAUUUGGAGUGUUAAAAAAAGUAUGGCUCAGGUGUCCAAAUGCUUUUUGGAAUCACUGCAAACCUUAAAGAUUUGGUUCAGGUCUUUAUCCAGUAGAUGGUGCCACAUAACAGAGAGACAAAUGCCAUAACAGCACAGUAGUAGAAGGAAGGUUUUCUAUUUAUUUUAUUUAUUUAUUUAUUUUUACUAAUGCCAAGGUACAACAAAGAUGAAAGUACAAAGAAUAUCAACACUGCGUACAAAGAGGUGACAUUACAUGCAAAGCGCCAUUUAUAGACGUAUGUAACAAUAAAUAAAUAAUACUAAAUGAAAGCUUUAACA